AGACACUCAUAAAAGAAAACUAUCCUCUUUCUACCUUGACCAUUCUUCCACCCAUGAUCUGUUUGGUAGUCAUCUCCUUGAAACCUUGAUGUCUUAUAUCUUAUAAUGUAUCAACUAGCACCAUCUCUCUUCCUGCCUAGCACUCAUAAAAGAAAACUAUCCUCUUUCUACCUUGACCAUUCUUCCACCCAUGAUCUGUUUGGUAGUCAUCUCCUUGAAACCUUGAUGUCUUAUAUCUUAUAAUGUAUCAACUAGCACCAUCUCUCUUCCUGUGAUUC